rnacentral:lncRNA from 1 species
CCCGUCGAGAGACACGAGAAGCGCGCCAUCGGCGGAACUGCCCAGCACCUCUGGCUUGGGGUGGCGGGACGCAGCCACCCGGUCGACGCCUUCAGGCGAGAGGCCGUAGAUUCCCUGGUGCACCGUGCCGCGGAAACGGCUCAGCUCGGCCGUCAGGGAGAACGGAGGGAAAUCGGACUCCAGGCAUCUGAGGGCUCUGUCUCCCCAGUGGCCUCAGGACAGAGCAAGGCCCCCAGCAGGUGCCUCGAGACUGCCACACACCUGCCAGAAGCAUUCAGAGGAGUCUGUGAGCCCUGAGCCUGGGCUCCUGAGGAGGAGGAUCCAAGGCUGGGAAACCAGGGCCCUUCCCUAACCUCUGGCCAGCCAUACCUGUGUUGGCCCUGACAGAAGCUGGGUAGCUGACUGCCCGGCCCCGCUCCGCUGUGACAGUCACCACAUAUUCUACGCCUGGCAUCAGGUCAGUCAGCAGCGUCCCGUCUGCUUCAGGGGGCACUUCCAGCCUCACCCUCUGGUUGCCGGCACUGACGUAGGACACCACAAAUCGGUCCACCUCAGCCUGGGGACGCAGCCAGCCAAGCUCCAGUGUUGUCGGUGUCACAGCCACCACUCGGAGGUCCUGGGGCCCAUCGAUCACUAGCCAGGUUAAAGAGGAGGACUCAGGCUCAGAGAAGACCCAGAAUGUGACAGAUGCCCAUACCGAGAGCAGAAUGGAUGAGCUAAGAACAUGGCCAAGCCUGGCACAGGCCAACUUGGCACCACCAUCCUGGCUCUGAGUGAGGGAGAAAGUCUAGGGCUUCAACUGGAAAGCGGCGCCCUUGACAACACCAAGGAUCGGUUUGUAUUUAUUUACUCAGAGCAGGAGACAACUGCUGCCCUAAAAGCUCCUCU